GUGGCUGUAGCUCAGUUGGUAGAGCCCCGGAUUGUGAUUCCGGUUGUCGUGGGUUCGAGCCCCAUUAGCCACCCCA
rnacentral:tRNA from 1 species